rnacentral:rRNA from 1 species
GUGCCAGCCGCCGCGGUAAUACCGGCAGCCCGAGUGAUGGCCGCUGUUAUUGGGCCUAAAGCGUCCGUAGCUGGCUGCGCAAGUCCGUCGGGAAAUCCACUCGCCCAACGAGUGGGCGUCCGACGGAAACUGCACAGCUUGGGACCGGAAGGCUCGAAGGGUACGUUCGGGGUAGGAGUGAAAUCCCGUAAUCCCGGACGGACCACCGAUGGCGAAAGCACUCUGAGAAGACGGCUCCGACAGUGAGGGACGAAAGCUAGGGUCUCAAACCGGAUUAGAUACCCCAGUAGUCU